rnacentral:rRNA from 1 species
CAAUAAGCGGAGGAAAAGAAACUAACAAGGAUUCCCCCAGUAACGGCGAGUGAAGAGGGAACAGCCCAAAUUUGUAAUCUGGCCCUUUCAGGGUCCGAGUUGUAAUCUCGAGAACUGUUUUCCGUGCUGGACCGCGUACAAGUCUGUUGGAAUAUAGCUUCAUAGAGGGUGAGAAUCCCGUACAUGCCGCGGACUACCAGUACAAUGUGAUACAGUCUCUAAGAGUCGAGUUGUUUGGGAAUGCAGCUCAAAAUGGGUGGUAAAUUCCAUCUAAGGCUAAAUAUUGGCGAGAGACCGAUAGCGAACAAGUACCGUGAGGGAAAGAUGAAAAGCACUUUGGAAAGAGAGUUAACAGUACGUGAAAUUGUUGAAAGGGAAACGCUUGAAGUCAGUCUUGUACUUUGUUGUUCAGCCUUCGGGUGUAUUCAACUUUGAACAGGCCAGCAUCAGUUUCAGAUGUCGGAUAAGGGUAGAGGAAAUGUAGCAGCCUCGGCUGUGUUAUAGUCCUUUGCUUGAUACGGCGUCCGGGACUGAGGAAUGCAGUGAGCCUUUUGGCAGGUCUUUGACCUU